UCUGGUCUAAGACAUUGGUGGAGGUCUGGUUCUGGUCUAAGCUGGUGGUGGAGGUCUGGUUCGGGUCUACGCUGGUGGUGGAGGUCUGGUUCUGGUCUACGCUGGUGGUGGAGGUCUGGUUCUGGUCUAAGCUGGUGUUGCAGGUCUAGCUCUGGUCUACGAUAUUGGUGGAGGUCUGGUUCUGGUCUAAGAUAUUGGUGAAGAUCCGGUUCUGGUCUAAGCUGGUGGUGGAGGUCGGGUUCUGGUCUAAGAUAAUGGUGGAGGUCUGGUUCUGGUCUAAGCUGGUGGUGGAGGUCUGGUUCUGGUCUAAGAUAAUGGUGGAGGUCUGGUUCUGGUCUAAGCUGGUGGUGGAGGUCUGGUUCUGGUCUAAGAUAAUGGUGGAGGUCUGGUUCUGGUCUAAGCUGGUGGUGGAGGUCUGGUUCUGGUCUAAGAUAAUGGUGGAGGUCUGGUUCUGGUCUAAGCUGGUGGUGGAUGUCUGGUUUUGGUCUAAGAUAUUGGUGGAGGCCUGGUUCUGGUCUAAGCUGGUGGUGGAGGUCUGGUUCUGGUCUAAGCUAGUGGUGGAGGUCUGGUUCUGGUCUAAGCUGGUGGUGGAGGUCUGGUUCUGGUCUAAGCUGGUGGUGGAGGUCUGGUUCUGGUCUAAGCUGGUGGUGGAGGUCUGGUUCUGGUCUAAGCUGGUGGUGAAGGUCUGGUUCAGGUCUAAGCUGGUGGUGGAGGUAUGGUUCUGGUCUAAGUUGAUGGGGAAGGUCUGGUUCUGGUCUAAGAUAUUGGUGAAGGUCCGGUUCUGGUCUAAGCUGGUGGUGGAGGUCUGGUUCUGGUCUAAGCUAGUGGUGGAGAUCUGGUCCUGGUCAAAGAUAUUGGUGGAGGUCUGAUACAGGUCUAAGCUGGUGGUGGAGGUAUGGUUCUGGUCUAAGCUGGUGGGGGAGGUCUGGUUCUGAUCUAAGUUGGUGGGGGAGGUCUGGUUCCGGUCUCAGCUGGUGGUGGAGGUCUGGUUCUGGUCUAAGCUGGUGGUGGAGGUCUGAUGCUGGUCUAAGUUGGAGGUGGAGGUCUGGGUCUAAGCUGGUGGUGGAGGUCUGGUUCUGGUCUAAGCUGUUGGUGGAGGUCUGGUUCUGGUCUAAGCUGUUGGUGGAGGUCUGAUGCUGGUCUAAGCUGGUGGUGGAGGUCUGGGUCUAAGCUGGUGGUGGAGGUCUGGUUCUGGUCUAAGCUGGUGGUG